GGGCACAGCGUGAGGGCCGCCGUUGCUGGAGUUCAGCUUAGGGAAGGAGGACUCUGAGGAGGCCCCGAGCGGCGGAGCGCUUCGGGGGAGGCGCCCGCGCAGACGCGAGGCCCAUAGCCAGGACCACCACCUAGCUGAUUCUUGAUGACAUUGGUCGGGAAAACUCGCCUUUCACGGCCCGGCCAAGGGGCAUUUGGGUGCUUUUGCUGCCCGUGGCUGUGCUCAGCGUUGUGGGAAGCCCCUGGGAGGCCGAAUGUGCAGGAUCACCGAGGGGAAAGUGAGCUUGACAGUUCUACAGUCUGGGGACGACGGUUUAAAAAUUUAUGCCUUGCAUGCGAUGUGCAGUGGGUGAUGGAAGAACGUCUACAUGGCUUUAAAAUUGGAUUUAAAAGGCAAAUAUUUUAAAUGAAGGAAAACCCAAGAAGUUUACUUGAUUCCUUAUCUUCCAGGAUGCGACUUUUGUUUAUUUAUUUAUUUUAUUUUGAUGGAGUCUCGCUGCCGUCGCGCAGGCUGGAGUGCAGUGACGCGAUCUUGACCCGGGAACCUCCACCUCCCGGGUUCAAGCGAUUCUCCUUCCUCAACCACCCGAGUAGCUGGGAUUACAGGCGUGUGCCACCAUGCCCGGCUAAUUUUUGUGUUUUUAGUAGAGACCGGGGAAGGUAUGGGCCCUCUUUUGAGAAAAAUGCAGAGUGACACUGAAUUUUGUAACUACAUCAGGAGGCUCUUGAACCUUCUGCAGCUCACUCGUGGAGUUUGUAGAGAUGCGUAAUAAUCCGAAGUGUUAAGGAAGAAGGUUCUGUUGAGAAAAAGUUGGAGGGCUGAAAGGGAUGCCUUUCGCUAUUUCGACAUGUGUGGCUGUACCCCAGAGUGCCCUGGCUAACACGCAAAACCAUGAAUUAGGCGGCUUGGCGAGGCUCAGUGGAGGCUGGGGCCGAGAGUCAUGUCAAAGUUUGUGGGGUUAACCUGCACCCAGUGACAGUCAUGGCGAAGUUUGUGAGGUUAACUCGCACCCAGUAACGCUGUUCCAAUGCAAGGUGUGUAUUUGGUGUCAUCCACGGGAAGAGGAAACAGCAAAUUUUCUCAUGGCCUUGGCAGUUCCACAUGAUGGACAUUUCAUAUCUGCAGUUUUCUUCGCAUGAGAUGGCUUUUUUGCACAAAAACACUGGAAUCCAGUGAGCAAGAAUGAUAGAAUGCAAGAUGGAUUUCCACAUGAGGAAGUGUCACGAACAAGCGUUUUGCAUCUCUGUCAGCUGGAUUCCCCCAUGUGUACGUAUGUGAGAACAUGCCGUGUUUCCUGUCUGUAAUGGUAGAGGCAGCCCUGAUACUGGAUUUUCACCUGAGGAUGGAUAGAUCUUCAGGGUUCAAGUGGGUUUGCAUCUGGACUUUAGGGUGGCCCUGUAGGCCCUGUGUGAGAAGCCCCCUUCCCAGUGAACUUUCCCUUGUGUGCCCGCGUGGACAGCCAACAGGGGGAGCAGUGCGAGCGUGAAGGCAGACAGUGGCCUGGCCCAGUCUGAUGGAAAAGAACUACAGCCUGUGUGGGUCCCCUCCCGACAAUUAAAAUUGCACCAUAACUCCAAAGAUGAAACGCUCCCAGAAAGAAAAGGCAAAGACCCAUCGGAAACAAAAGAGCAACUUUCACCGCCUGAUACAUACACUUCAUGACAUCCACAUUGAGACAAAAUCUCGCCGUGUGACCUACAACACCUCUCGUUCAACCCCACCUACUUGGGGUCGAAUACAGAUUUUAUCUCAUCAAACAGAAAAAUUCUUAACAGAAAAAGGAAUCCCAAAAAUGACUGGUAAUAUAAUUCUGGCUGCCUUUAUGGUAGUCAGUGCAGCGGUAAGUAUACCACCGGUCGGGGCAACUCAAAAUUAUACUUAUUGGGCAUAUGUUCCUUUUCCCCUUCUAAUUCGGUCUGUCUCCUGGAGGGACUCUCCAGUAGAAGUUUACACUAAUAAUAGUGCAUUCAUGCCGAUCCCUAAUGAUGAUCGGUUUCCAGCUCAACCGGAAGAAGAAGGUAUGCACUUUAAUCUGUCAAUUGGCUAUAAAUAUCCACCAUUAUGUAUUGGGAAGUCGCCUGGUUGUUUAGCUUAUUCUUAACAGAAUUGGAUGUGGACUGUACCGUCCUUUACAAAUGAUUCUUAUCAAGUAUAUAAUGUGUUCAGUACUAACUCUUUUCAACUUCUCACUGUCAAACGUACCCCACAUGAGGCAUGGAGAGUUCCUCUCACUACCAAAACUAAUAAAACAAAAGGACUGCCGGACUGUCCAAAGAAACCUACAAAUGGGCCUUUUAUAGUGACUUCAAUUUUAUGGGAUAAUUGUAAUGCUCCCAAGGCUGUUGUACUCCAAACUCUAGCCAUGGGUAUUGUUAUUGAUUGGGCUCCAAAAGGACAUUAUUGGCAAGAUUGCUCCAGCAAAAAUACCUUAUGCUCGGAGUUUAUUUAUUCCUUAGAUUAUAUAGAGCAUGGGUGGCAGUCUUACACGAUGAGACAACGGGUGUCUCCUUACCCAUUUAAAUGGAUGGACACAGGUAUUGCUCCUCCUAGACCAAAAAUUAUUCAUCCCUUUUUUACCCCAGAACAUCCUGAACUAUGGAAAUUAGCUGCAGCUUUGUCGGGAAUAAAGAUAUGGAACACUACCUAUCAGCUCCUUCGUACUAAAACCAAAACACCCACAUUCAACAUCACCCUUAUUUCUGAAUGGGUGAUACCCAUUAGGAGCUGUGUCAAACCCCCUUACAUGCUGUUGGUUGGAAAUAUAAUUAUGAUGCCUGAUGCACAAACUAUAGAAUGUCAUAACUGUAAGCUGUUCACUUGCAUUGAUGCAACUUUUAAUCCCACUACAAGUAUUCUCUUGGUAAGGGCUAGGGAGGGGGUAUGGAUACCAGUUUCUCUACAUCGUCCAUGGGAGUCUUCCCCCUCUAUUCACAUAGUCAAUGAAGUUCUUAAAGACAUCCUCAAAAGAACAAAGAGAUUUAUUUUUACUCUUAUUGCAGUCCUUGCAGGACUACUUGCGGUUACUGCAACAGCAGCAACUGCUGGAGUUGCCAUCCGCAGUUCUGUUCAAACUGCUCACUAUGUUGAAGCAUGCCAGAAAAAUUCCUCCAGACUUUGGAAUUCUCAGGCGCAAAUUGAUCAAAAAUUAGCUAAUCAGAUUAAUGAUCUCCGCCAAAGUGUAACCUGGCUGGGAGAUAGAGUUAUGAACUUGCAACACCGUAUGCAAUUACAGUGUGAUUGGAAUACUUCUGAUUAUUGCAUAACGCCUUAUGCUUAUAAUCAAGAUCAACAUAGCUGGGAAAAUGUCUCAAGACAUUUAAAAGCCUGGGAUGAUAACUUAACCUUGGAUAUUUCACAACUUAAAGAGCAAAUCUUUGAGGCUUCACAAGCCCAUUUAUCCACAGUUCCUGGCUCACACAUUUUUGAAGGCAUAACUAAACAAUUACCUGAUUUUAAUCCCUUCAAAUGGCUCAAACCCGUCAGAGGAUCAUUGUUGUUACUGGCAUUAUUAAUAUUGGUAUGCUUAUGUUGUCUCCUUUUAGUCUGCAGAUGCCUCUAAGGAGUCCGAAACCAAGUCCGAAGUCAACAACAAGCAAUGAUGGCGAUGGCGAUUCUAGUUAAUAAAAAGGGGGGAGAUGUGGGCGGCAAGCCACCCAGGCACCGAGGCAAGAGACAGAGGACACGAGCUGUUCCAGUAU
ensembl:lncRNA ERVK13-1 endogenous retrovirus group K13 member 1